rnacentral:rRNA from 1 species
UCGAGCGGAUGAAGAGAGCUUGCUCUCUGAUUCAGCGGCGGACGGGUGAGUAAUGCCUAGGAAUCUGCCUAUUAGUGGGGGACAACGUUUCGAAAGGAACACUAAUACCGCAUACGUCCUACGGGAGAAAGCAGGGGGCCUUCGGGCCUUGCGCUAAUAGAUGAGCCUAGGUCGGAUUAGCUAGUUGGUGAGGUAAAGGCUCACCAAGGCGGACGAUCCGUAACUGGUCUGAGAGGAUGAUCAGUCACACUGGAACUGAGACACGGUCCAGACUCCUACGGGAGGCAGCAGUGGGGAAUAUUGGACAAUGGGCGAAAGCCUGAUCCAGCCAUGCCGCGUGUGUGAAGAAGGUCUUCGGAUUGUAAAGCACUUUAAGUUGGGAGGAAGGGCAGUAAGUUAAUACCUUGCUGUUUUGACGUUACCGACAGAAUAAGCACCGGCUAACUUCGUGCCAGCAGCCGCGGUAAUACGAAGGGUGCAAGCGUUAAUCGGAAUUACUGGGCGUAAAGCGCGCGUAGGUGGUUCGUUAAGUUGGAUGUGAAAGCCCCGGGCUCAACCUGGGAACUGCAUCCAAAACUGGCGAGCUAGAGUAUGGCAGAGGGUGGUGGAAUUUCCUGUGUAGCGGUGAAAUGCGUAGAUAUAGGAAGGAACACCAGUGGCGAAGGCGACCACCUGGGCUAAUACUGACACUGAGGUGCGAAAGCGUGGGGAGCAAACAGGAUUA